rnacentral:rRNA from 1 species
CGAACGCUGGCGGCGUGCUUUAUACAUGCAAGUCGAACGAUGAAGUUCCUUCGGGAAUGGAUUAGUGGCGAACGGGUGAGGAACACGUGAGAAAUCUGCCUUUCAUUCUAGGAUAACACCGGGAAACCGGUGCUAAUACCGGAUACUCCAUCUUGGCGGCAUCGCCGAGCUGGGAAAAAAUUUUGAUGAAAGAUGGUCUCGCGGCCUAUCAGCUAGUUGGUGAGGUAAAGGCUCACCAAGGCGACGACGGGUAGCCGGCCUGAGAGGGCGACCGGCCACAUUGGGACUGAGACACGGCCCAGACUCCUACGGGAGGCAGCAGUAGGGAAUAUUGGGCAAUGGGCGAAAGCCUGACCCAGCGACGCCGCGUGAGGGAUGAAGGUCUUCGGAUUGUAAACCUCUUUCAGUAGGGAAGAAGCGAAAGUGACGGUACCUAAAGAAGAAGCACCGGCUAACUAUGCGCCAGCAGCCGCGGUAAUCUGAUG